UCAGACACGAGUAGCGAUAAAUCAGAUAAGAAUUCUGAUCGCCGUAAACCUAAGGUUUCCUGGGCUAGGUUCGUCCUCCCAGGGUUAGUCGGGAGCUAAAAUGAGGCCGUAAGGCGUAAUUGAUGCACAUGCGGUUAAUAUUCCGCAACCAAGUUGACAACUGCUGAUGUUUUGCAGCCUUCCAAAAACAAAAGUCACUGAAUGACUUAGCCAAAACUUGUUUGAGGCGCUGUUUUGUCGGGGCUGCCAAGAAAAAGGCAUCAUUCAAAUUCAACGUGCCCGUACCGCAAACCGACACAGGUAGGUGGGUCGAGUAGACCAAGGCGAGCGAGAUAGCCCUCUUUAAGGAACUCGGCAAAUUAGCCCCGUAACUUCGGGAGAAGGGGUGCCCUAUAAAAUGGGUCUCAGUAAAUUGCGUUUAGCGACUGUUUAACAAAAGCACAGCACUCUGCAACGUCGUAAGACAACGUAUAGGGUGUGACAAGUGACCAAUGCGGAAAGAUCAAGGCAAAAGGUUAGCGCAAGCGAAGCUUUGAACCUAAGUCCCCGUGAAUGACGGCCGUAACUAUGACGGUCCUAAGGUAGCGAAAUUCCUUGUCGGGUAAGUUCCGACCUGCACGAAUCUUGUAACGACUGAACGACUGUCUCAAAGAGGCUCUCGGCGAAACUGUAGUUGCGGUGAAGAUGCCGCAUACCCGCAGUAGGACGGAAAGACCCUAUGCACCUUUACUGUAAGCUCGUAUUGGCUUCUGGUUGAUGAUGCUUAGUGUAGGUGGGAGGCUUUGAAGGCAUGAUUUCGGUUAUGCUUGAGCCGCAAUGUGAAACACCACUCUUCUUUAACUAGGAGUCUAACUUUAAUUCCGUUAGCCGGAUAAAGGAAAAUGCGUGCAGGUCAGUUUGGCUGGGGCGGCUUCCUCCCAAAAAGUAACGGAGGAGCGCGAAGCUGGGCUCAGCACGGUUGGCAAUCGUGUGUCGAGCGUAUGGGUAAAAGCCCGGUUAACUGCAAGACCAACAAGUCAAGCAGAUGCGAAAGCAGGCCCAAAUGAUCCGAUGGUUGAAUGUGGAAUUGCCAUCGCUCAACGGACAAAAGGUACGCUAGGGAUAACAGGCUGAUCGGGUCCAAGAGUUCACAUCGACGACCCGGUUUGGCACCUCGAUGUCGGCUCAUCGCAUCCUGGGGCUGGAGAAGGUCCCAAGGGUCCGGCUGUUCGCCGGUUAAAGCGGUACGCGAGCUGGGUUCAGAGCGUCGUGAGACAGUUCGGUCCUUAUCCACUGUGGGCGUAGGAAACUUGAGAAAAUCCAAUCCUAGUACGAGAGGACCGGAUUGGACGCACUUCUGGUGUUGCAGUUGUCAUUUCAAUGGCAUCGCUGCGUAGCCAUGUGCGGAAAGGAUAAGCGCUGAAGGCAUCUAAGCGCCAAGCCCAUUUCAAGAUAUGGUUUCCCCAAGAUCCCCAGCAGACCACUGGGUUGAUAGGUCGCGUGUGUACAGGUUGCAAAAUCUUCAGCAGAGCGAUACUAAUGAUCUUAUGGCUUGGCC
rnacentral:rRNA from 1 species